rnacentral:rRNA from 1 species
CCUACGGGUGACAGCAGUGAGGAAUAUUGGUCAAUGGCCGGAAGGCUGAACCAGCCAUGCCGCGUGAAGGGCAGGGCCCUAGGGGCGUUAAACUUCUUUUGUGCGGGAGCAAGAAUGGUCACGGGUGGCCAGACGAGAGUACCGUACGAAGAAGCAGCGGCGAACCCCGUGACAGCAGCCGCGGUAAUACGGGGGAUGCAAGCGUUAUCCGGAUUUCUUGGGUUUAAAGGGUGCGUAGGCUGGGAGGUAAGUCAGCGGGGAAAUGCCCCCGCUCAACGGGGGGAAGUGCCAUUGAUACUGCCUUGCUGGACUGCGGAUGCCGUGGGCGGAAUGUGUGGUGUAGCGGUG